CCUGCCCUGUACAGGGGGAUAACACUUAGAAAUAGGUGCUAAAACCGCAUAAGCGCACAGUACCGCAUGGUACAGUGUGAAAAACUCCGGUGGUACAGGAUGGACCCGCGUCUGAUUAGCUGGUUGGAGGGGUAACGGCCCACCAAGGCGACGAUCAGUAGCCGGCCUGAGAGGGUGAACGGCCACAUUGGGACUGAGACACGGCCCAAACUCCUACGGGAGGCAGCGGUGGGGAAUAUUGCACAAUGGGGGAAACCCUGAUGCAACGACGCCGCGUGAGUGAAGAAUUAUUUCGGUAUGUAAAGCUCUAUCAGCAGGAAAGAUAAUGACGGUACCUGAAUAAGAAGCCCCGGCUAACUACGUGCCAGCAGCCGCGGUAAUACGUAGGGGGCAAGCGUUAUCCGGAUUUACUGGGUGUAAAGGGAGCGUACACGGCAUGGCAAGUCUGAAGUGAAAGCCCGGGGCUCAACCGCGGGACUGCUUUGGAAACUGUUAAGCUGGAGUGCAGGAGAGGUAAGUGGAAUUCCUAGUGUAGCGGUGAAAUGCGUAGAUAUUAGGAGGAACACCGGUGGCGAAGGCGUCUUACUGGACUGUAACUGACGUUGAG
rnacentral:rRNA from 1 species